rnacentral:rRNA from 1 species
GAUGAACGCUGGCGGCGUGCUUAACACAUGCAAGUCGAACGAGAAGUGAAGACGGAAACCUUCGGGCGGAAGGCUUUAUUUCGAGUGGCGGACGGGUGAGUAACGCGUGGGUAACCUGCCUCAUACAGGGGGAUAACAGUUGGAAACGACUGUUAAUACCGCAUAAGACCACAGCACCGCAUGGUGCGGGGGUAAAAACUCCGGUGGGAUGGAAGGGACUCGCGGUGGAUUAGCCAGCUGGGGGGGUAACGGCCCACCAAAGCGACGAUCGAAAGCCGAACUGAGAGGAUGACCCGCCACAUUGAGACUGAGACACAGCCCGAACUCCUACGGGAAGCAGCAGUGGGGGAUAUUGCACAAUGGGGGGAGCGCUGAUGCAGCGACGCCGCGUGAGUGAAGAAGUAUUUCGGUAUGUAAAGCUCUAUAAGCAGGGAAGAAAAUGACGGUACCUGAGUAAGAAGCCCCGGCUAACUACGUG